AUGCCAGCUCUCUGUCCACCCCUCUCCGUCGUCUUGGCCGAGCAGGAACUGGGAGCUGGGGUGCCUCUGACUCGGGCAGCCCUGGCCCCUUGGGACCAUCAGCUGUGCCUGGUCUGUCAAACGGGGUCACACUGGGACUCAGGGCCCGAGACAGAAAGCAGUGGGCUGGGCAACAGCAGUGCCCUUGGCCUCCACUCCUGCUGGUCUGCAAUGCCAGCUGAUUCUGUCCUCUCGGGCUGCACAGCCCAUGUGUGCCCUGUACUUGUGUCUGCCCAUGCAGGGUGGGCCAUGCCCGGGGUGGUGGCAGGGAGGUGGUACAGUGUCUCUGGGGAGAGGCAGACCCACCCAGAUCCCAUGGGGAGGGCAGACAAGGGCAUCCUCCUCUCAACAUCCCAAAGGGAAGGGCCGUCCGCUGCUAGUGGAGAGGACGACACGCCUGGACCGUGGAGCACAUGUCAACGGUGGGAACGGUGCGAGCUUUCCCAUGAGUCACCACUCGAGUGGGUAGCCUGGGUGGGGAGCCAGGGGAGGGCAAAGGAAAACAGAUCAGCAGCUCCUUUGUGCCGAGCUACCUCUUCCCCAGGGGUGCCUCUCAGCGGGCAAGGGGCUGGGCCACAGACCUCCCGAGGAAGGAGGGGCCUGGCGCGAGGGUGCCUGGCUGCAGCCCGCCAGGGGGCCCCCGCUCCCCCGCUGUGCCCCCCAAGUAGCAGAGCCGAGGCAGGUGCUCCUCCCCAGCCUGCCCCCUCCCACAAAGACAGCCUCCUGGAGCCUCUGAGGUCUGUGUGGGCAGAGCUGUGGACCAGGCCCCCAUCCCCCACUUGGCUGAACCCCAGCAGGCCAGGUGCCAGGCCAAGUGCCGGGUCUUCCAGAAAAACCCGCUCCUCUCCCAGCUCUGCCUGCAGGCCGCCUUGCUGGGAGGCCAAGAGCCAAGCAGGAUCUCGGCAGCCCACCACCAAGCAGCGAGCACAACCCAGAGUACAGGCGCUGUGCACUCCCACCAGACGCCUCCUCCAGGAAGUCUCCCGGAUGACACGGGCUGGGUCGGGUGCUCUGCUCGCCCGUCUCAGCGUGCUUGGUGGGAGUGAAACUCACGUGUGUGCCUCUGUCUCUGUGGGCCACGAGAACCUGAGGGUCCGGCUCUCCUUGCAGCCCCGGCUCCUGCCUGGCCAGGUGCUUGGGGAAUAUUUGCUGAAUGCGUGA
rnacentral:lncRNA from 1 species